rnacentral:rRNA from 1 species
CGAAUGCUGACAUAAGUAACGAUAAUGCGGGUGAAAAACCCGCACGCCGGAAGACCAAGGGUUCCUGUCCAACGUUAAUCGGGGCAGGGUGAGUCGACCCCUAAGGCGAGGCCGAAAGGCGUAGUCGAUGGGAAACAGGUUAAUAUUCCUGUACUUGGUGUUACUGCGAAGGGGGGACGGAGAAGGCUAUGUUAGCCGGGCGACGGUUGUCCCGGUUUAAGCAUGUAGGCGGAGGUUCCAGGUAAAUCCGGUACCUUUUUAACGCUGAGGUGUGAUGACGAGGCACUACGGUGCUGAAGUAACAAAUGCCCUGCUUCCAGGAAAAG